rnacentral:rRNA from 1 species
AGCGAACGCUGGCGGCAGGCCUAACACAUGCAAGUCGAACGAACCUUUCGGGGUUAGUGGCGGACGGGUGAGUAACACGUGGGAACGUGCCUUUAGGUUCGGAAUAACUCAGGGAAACUUGUGCUAAUACCGAAUGUGCUCUUCGGGGGAAAGAUUAAUCGCCUUUGGAGCGGCCUGCGUCUGAUUAGCUAGUUGGUUGAGGUAAUGGCUCACCAAGGCGACGAUCAGUAGCUGUUCUGGGAGGAUGAUCAGCCACAUUGGGACUGAGACACGGCCCAAACUCCUACGGGAGGCAGCAGUAGGGAAUCUUGCGCAAUGGGCGAAAGCCUGACGCAGCCAUGCCGCGUGAAUGAUGAAGGUCUUAGGAUUGUAAAAUUCUUUCACCGGGGACGAUAAUGACGGUACCCGGAGAAGAAGCCCCGGCUAACUUCGUG